UGAGGGAAUAUUUGGGUCAAUGGGCGCAGGCCUGAACCAGCCAAGUCGCGUGAGGGAAGACGGUCCUACGGAUUGUAAACCUCUUUUGUCGGGGAGUAACGUGCGGGACGCGUCCCGUAUUGAGAGUACCCGAAGAAAAAAGCAUCGGCUAACUCCGUGCCAGCAGCCGCGGUAAUACGGAGGAUGCGAGCGUUAUCCGGAUUUAUUGGGUUUAAAGGGAGCGUAGGCCGUCUUAUAAGCGUGUUGUGAAAUGUCGGGGCUCAACCUGGGCAUUGCAGCGCGAACUGUGAGACUUGAGUGCGCAGGAAGUAGGCGGAAUUCGUCGUGUAGCGGUGAAAUGCUUAGAUAUGACGAAGAACUCCGAUUGCGAAGGCAGCCUGCUGUAGCGCAAC
rnacentral:rRNA from 1 species